CUCCGCGUGCCGUGAACCGGGCAACGGCUUUUGUCAUUUAACAUUGGUGUUAUAAUGGCAUAAGCCGGCAGAUACCCUUUAACUAUAACAAUGUUUUCCGAUAAUUUCUUGGAAAAUAUCAUAUAGCAAUUUUUAUUUAAUGUAGAUUAGUAAAUGUUAUAUUUAUGCCCCCUUCGAAGAAAAGGGGGGUAUAUUGUUUUGCACAUGUCGGUGGGUCCAUCCGUCCAUCCGUCCACCAGAUGGUUUCCGGAUGAAAACUCAAGAACGCUUAGGCCUAGUAUUAUGAAACUUCAUGGGUACAUUGGUCAUGACUGGAAGAUGACCCCUAUUGAUUUUCAGGUCAAAGGUCAAGGUCACAGGAACUCGAAAUAGUAAAAUGGUUUCCGGAUGAUAACUCAAGAAUGCUUUGGCCUAGGAUCAUGAAACUUCAUAGGUACAUUGAUCAUGACUGGCAGAUGACCCCUAUGGAUUUUCAGGUCACUAGGUCAAAGGUCAAGGUCACAGUGACUCGAAACAGUAAAAAGGUUUCUGGAUGAUAACUCAAGAAUGCUUACGCAUAGAAUCAUGAAACUUCAUAGGUACAUUGAUUAUGACUGGCAGAUGACUGCUAUUAAUUGUCAGGUCACUAGGUCAAAGGUCAAGGUCACAGUGACAAAAAACGUAUUCACACAAUGGCUGCCACUACAACUGACAGCCCAUAUGGGGGGAAUGCAUGUUUUACAAACAGCCCUUGUUCUGUGUUAAAAUGUAUGUACACGUCUGCGUUAAAUAAAUAUGUUCACAUUUGAAAUAAAGCUAAAAAGGUG